UCCUCCGCUUAUUGAUAUGCUUAAGUUCAGCGGGUAUCCCUACCUGAUCCNAGGUCAAUCACUAGAAAGGGGGUUGUACAGCAGGAACGACUCUGGAUACAAAGCGAACGUUUAUUACUACGCCGGGUACCAGUGACCUUCCGCCAUUGAAUUUCGGAGGGGAGACUGCCGGGCAGUCUCUUCCUCCAUGACCAAGCAAAAGAGCUUGAGUUGAUUUUAAUGACGCUCGAACAGGCAUGCCUCCCGGAAUACCAGGAGGCGCAAUGUGCGUUCAAAGAUUCGAUGAUUCACUGAAUUCUGCAAUUCACACUACUUAUCGCAUUUCGCUGCGUUCUUCAUCGAUGCGAGAACCAAGAGAUCCGUUGUUGAAAGUUGUAAUUAUUAAUUUGUUACUGACGCUGAUUGCAAUUACAAAAGGUUUAUGUUUGUCCUAGUGGUGGGCGAACCCACCAAGGAAACAAGAAGUACGCAAAAGACA
rnacentral:rRNA from 1 species